GACGAACGCUGGCGGCGUGCUUAACACAUGCAAGUCGAACGGAAAGACCCUGCUUUUGUGGGGUGCUCGAGUGGCGAACGGGUGAGUAACACGUGAGUAACCUGCCCUUGACUUUGGGAUAACUUCAGGAAACUGGGGCUAAUACCGGAUAGGAGCUCCUGCUGCAUGGUGGGGGUUGGAAAGUUUCGGCGGUUGGGGAUGGACUCGCGGCUUAUCAGCUUGUUGGUGGGGUAGUGGCUUACCAAGGCUUUGACGGGUAGCCGGCCUGAGAGGGUGACCGGCCACAUUGGGACUGAGAUACGGCCCAGACUCCUACGGGAGGCAGCAGUGGGGAAUAUUGCACAAUGGGCGGAAGCCUGAUGCAGCGGCGCCGCGUGCGGGAUGACGGCCUUCGGGUUGUAAACCGCUUUCGCCUGUGACGAAGCGUGAGUGACGGUAAUGGGUAAAGAAGCACCGGCUAACUACGUG
rnacentral:rRNA from 1 species